UUUUUCGCCAAGGGGGAAAGCCUGACGGAGCAACGCCGCGUGAGUGAUGACGGCUUUCGGGUUGUAAAGCUUUGUGAUCGGGGACGAACGGUCCGUAAGCCAAUACCUUACGAAGUGACGGUACCCGAAUAGCAAGCCACGGCUAACUACGUGCCAGCAGCCGCG
rnacentral:rRNA from 1 species